rnacentral:rRNA from 1 species
CAGCAGCCGCGGGAAUACGUAGGGUGCGAGCGUUAAUCGGAAUUACUGGGCGUAAAGCGUGCGCAGGCGGUUCGUUAAGACAGAUGUGAAAUCCCCGGGCUUAACCUGGGAACUGCAUUUGUGACUGGCGAGCUAGAGUAUGGCAGAGGGGGGUAGAAUUCCACGUGUAACAGUGAAAUGCGUAGAGAUGUGGAGGAAUACCGAUGGCGAAGGCAGCCCCCUGGGCCAAUACUGACGCUCAUGCACGAAAGCGUGGGGAGCAAACAGGAUUAGAUACCCGGGUAGUCCCUGUCUCUUAUAC